rnacentral:rRNA from 1 species
GACGGAGGGUGCAAGCGUUGUUCGGAUUGACUGGGCGUAAAGGGCGUGUAGGCGGUCGGCCAAGUCUGAUGUGAAAGCCCGAGGCUCAGCCUCGGAAGUGCGUCGGAAACUAGUCGGCUGGAGCGCGAUAGAGGAGGGUGGAAUUCCUGGUGUAGCGGUGAAAUGCGUAGAUAUCAGGAGGAACACCGGCGGCGAAGGCGGCCCUCUGGAUCAGUACUGACGCUCAUGCACGAAAGCGUGGGGAGCAAACAGG